rnacentral:rRNA from 1 species
AUUGAACGCUGGCGGCAUGCCUUACACAUGCAAGUCGAACGGCAGCAUGAUCUAGCUUGCUAGAUUGAUGGCGAGUGGCGCACGGGUGAGUAAUACAUCGGAACGUGCCCUGUAGUGGGGGAUAACUAGUCGAAAGAUUAGCUAGUACCGCAUACGACCUGAGGGUGAAAGUGGGGGACCGCAAGGCCUCAUGCUAUAGGAGCGGCCGAUGUCUGAUUAGCUAGUUGGUGAGGUAAAGGCUCACCAAGGCGACGAUCAGUAGCUGGUCUGAGAGGACGAUCAGCCACACUGGGACUGAGACACGGCCCAGACUCCUACGGGAGGCAGCAGUGGGGAAUUUUGGACAAUGGGCGAAAGCCUGAUCCAGCAAUGCCGCGUGUGUGAAGAAGGCCUUCGGGUUGUAAAGCACUUUUGUCCGGAAAGAAAUGGCUCUGGUUAAUACCUGGGGUCGAUGACGGUACCGGAAGAAUAAGGACCGGCUAACUACGUG